GACGAAGGGGGCAAGCGUUGUUCGGAAUUACUGGGCGUAAAGGGCGCGUAGGCGGUUCUUUAAGUCAGGCGUGAAAGCCCUGGGCUCAACCUGGGAGUGGCGCUUGAUACUGGAGGACUAGAGAGUGGGAGAGGUUGGUGGAAUUCCCAGUGUAGAGGUGAAAUUCGUAGAUAUUGGGAAGAACACCGGUGGCGAAGGCGGCCAACUGGACCAUUUCUGACGCUGAGGCGCGAAAGCGUGGGGAACAAACAGG
rnacentral:rRNA from 1 species